rnacentral:lncRNA from 1 species
CGGGGCCGGCUCGGUCCGGUUCGGGCGCGGGCGAAGCUGGGCCGGUUCGGCCCAAGCGGUCGGACCGGUCCGGUUUUCUCCUUUUUUUUUCUUUUCUUUUUUCCUUUUCUGUUUUUCUUUGAUAUCUUUUGAUUUUGAACUCCAAAUUGGUCCAAAUAAAUUCCAUAAAAUUUGUAAAAUCAUGUGUUAUCAUAAUUCAAAUUUUGGGAGUAAUUUUCCCUCAAAAUAAAUUAUAUAAAAAUACAUUUUCCCUAAUAAUGCCUUUAGGGCUAUAUAACUAUUUAAAUAAAAUAGUUUUUCAACUCCAAAUAAAUAUCCAAAAAUUAUGGUAUAGUUUAUUUAUUCAAUAAACCCUAUUUAUAAAUAAACCCUAUUGGUUUGAAGAUCCAAAGCUCAAAGGGGUGAAACCCUAAGGUUUAAAUUGAAAUAAAAUCUUUUAAAGUCUUUUGAGAUUCAAAUUUGAAUUCAAAUAUGCAAUUGUGGCAUGAUGCUCAUGGAUGCAAUGAAUAUGAAAGGUUUUGGAAUUCUGGGAUGUUACACACGCCCUGCCAGGGAAUUCUUCCUUGCCAGCA